rnacentral:lncRNA from 1 species
GCCAAAAAUUUGGUUGAGUUCGGAAAAUUUUACAAUCGGCGUUGAAAAUAUUUAAACGGUUAUAAUUUUUCGUUCGGUGUUUGUUUUUAACGUAAAAUUCUAAUUUGAAAAUACGCUUUUCGAGAUCUACGAGUCUAAAAGCAAAGUAGUUUCGGCAGAGUUUGGGACCCAAAUUCAGUUGAUUUGGCCUCCUUUUUUAUAUUUUUAGAUUAUUUUUGAAAAGUUUUGUAUUUUUUGUUUAUUUUGAGUGCAUUUAUUUAGUUGUUUUCCUUAAUCGGUUUAGGUUUAGAGGUAUAUUAGAAUUUAUUAUAUUUAGUUAU